rnacentral:rRNA from 1 species
GAUGAACGCUGGCGGCGUGCUUAACACAUGCAAGUCGAACGGAAAGGCGCCUGCUUUCCUGGUUACUCGAGUGGCGAAGGGGUGAGUAACACAAGGGGGAACUGCCCUGCACUUCGGGAUAAGCCUGGGGAACUGCGGCUAAUAUCGGAUAGGAUGUUGUUUUGCAUGCGGUUGUGGAGAGUUUGUUCGGUUUGGUAUGAGCUCGCGGCGUAUCAGCUUGUUGGUGGGUUGAUGGGCUACCAAGGCGUGGACGGGUAGCCGGCCAGAGAGGGUGUGAGGCGACAUUGAGACUGAGAUGCGGCCCAGGCUCGUAAGGGUGGGCACAGUGGGGAAUAUUGAACAAUGGGCGCAAGGCUGGUGAAGAGGCGCCGCGUGGGGGAUGACGGUCUUCGGGGUGUAAACCAAUUUCGCUAGGGACGAAGCGCGAGUGACGGUACCUGGAUAAGAAGCCCCGGCUAACUACGUG